UACGUAGGUGGCAAGCGUUGUCCGGAAUCAUUGGGCGUAAAGCGCGCGUAGGUGGCUUCGUAAGUCCGUUGUGAAAGUCAAAGGCUCAACCUUUGAAAGCCGGUGGAUACUGCGGAGCUAGAGUACGGAAGAGGCGAGUGGAAUUUCUGGUGUAGCGGUGGAAUGCGCAGAUAUCAGGAGGAACACCAAUAGCGAAGGCAGCUCGCUGGGACGUUACUGACACUGAGGCGCGAAAGCGUGGGGAGCGAACAGG
rnacentral:rRNA from 1 species